rnacentral:rRNA from 1 species
AGAGUUUGAUCAUGGCUCAGAACGUACGCUGGCGGCACGCCUAAUACAUGCAAGUCGAACGAAGUAGCAAUACUUAGUGGCAGACGGGUGAGUAACAUGUGGGUAUCUUCCCUUUGGUGAGGAAUAACACGAGGAAACUUGUGCUAAUACCUCAUAAGUCUUUACAGAGAAAGCUUUAUGCGCCGAUGGAUGAGCCUGCACUUGAUUAGUUUGUUGGUAGGGUAAUGGCCUACCAAGACAAUGAUCAAUAGCUGAUUUGAGAGGAUGAUCAGCCACAUUGGGACUGAGACACGGCCCAAACUCCUACGGGAGGCAGCAGUAGGGAAUCUUGCACAAUGGGGGAAACCCUGAUGCAGCGAUGCCGCGUGAGUGAAGAAGGCCUUUGGGUUGUAAAGCUCUUUCGUCGGGGAAGAAAAUGACUGUACCCGAAUAAGAAGGUCCGGCUAACUUCGUGCCAGCAGCCGCGGUAAUACGAAGGGACCUAGCGUAGUUCGGAAUUACUGGGCUUAAAGAGUUCGUAGGUGGUUAAAAUAGUUGGUGGUGAAAUCCCAAGGCUUAACCUUGGAACUGCCAUCAAAACUUUUUAGCUAGAGUGUGAUAGAGGUAAGUGGAAUUUCUAGUGUAGAGGUGAAAUUCGUAGAUAUUAGAAAGAACACCAAAUGCGAAGGCAACUUACUGGGUCACUACUGACACUGAGGAGCGAAAGCAUGGGUAGCGAAGAGGAUUAGAUACCCUCGUAGUCCAUGCCGUAAACGAUGUGUGCUAGACGUUGGAAAUAUAUUUUUCAGUGUCGCAGCGAAAGCAUUAAGCACACCGCCUGGGGAGUACGACCGCAAGGUUAAAACUCAAAUGAAUUGACGGGGACCCGCACAAGCAGUGGAGCAUGUGGUUUAAUUCGAAGAUACGCGCAGAACCUUACCAACACUUGACAUGUUCGUCGCGAGCCUAAGAGAUUAGGCUUUUCAGUUUGGCUGGACGAAACACAGGUGCUGCAUGGCUGUCGUCAGCUCGUGUCGUGAGAUGUUGGGUUAAGUCCCGCAACGAGCGCAACCCUUACUUUUAGUUGCCAUCAUUAAGUUGGGCACUCUGAAAGAACUGCCAGUGAUAAGCUGGAGGAAGGUGGGGAUGACGUCAAGUCCUCAUGGCCCUUACGUGUUGGGCUACACACGUGCUACAAUGGUAUCUACAACAGGAAGCAAAACGGCGACGUUAAGCAAAUCCUUAAAAGAUACCUCAGUUCGGAUUGCACUCUGCAACUCGAGUGCAUGAAGCUGGAAUUACUAGUAAUCGUGGAUCAGCGUGCCACGGUGAAUGCGUUCCCGGGUCUUGUACACACCGCCCGUCACACCAUGGGAGUUGGUUCUACCUUAAGGCAAGGUUUUAAACCCUUGACCACGGUAUAGUCAGCGACUGGGGUGAAGUCGUAACAAGGUAGCCGUA